rnacentral:rRNA from 1 species
UGCACUUCUUUAUUUUGUUUGAGUGAUGGAGGGACGCAGUAGGCUAAGUUGAGCAUGCAGCUGGAAAAGCAUGUCUAAAUAACAAGUCUAAGAAUGAGUCAAAUGCUUAUUCUUAUUAAAGACAAGUUAUGAUGGGGAGCGAAAUUUAAGUAGCGAAGCAACUGAUGUCACACUGCCAAGAAAAGCUUCUAGCGAGAAAUAAAGAACCCGUACCGCAAACCGACACAGGUAGUCGAGGAGAGUAUCCUAAGGUGAGCGAGUGAACUAUCGUUAAG